rnacentral:rRNA from 1 species
GUGACAGCCGCCGCGGUAAUACGGAGGGUGCGAGCGUUGUCCGGAUUUAUUGGGUUUAAAGGGUGCGUAGGCGGCCCCGUAAGUCGGCGGUGAAACCCACGGGCUCAACCCGCGGCGUGCCGACGAUACUGCGGGGCUUGGGUCGUCUCUGGGCGGGCGGAAUGGAAGGUGUAGCGGUGAAAUGCAUAGAUAUCUACCAGAACGCCGAUAGCGAAGGCAGCUCGCUGGGGACGUACCGACGCUGAGGCACGAUAGCGUGGGGAUCGAACAGGAUUAGAAACCCGAGUAGUCC